GUGGGGAAUCUUGCGCAAUGGGCGAAAGCCUGACGCAGCCAUGCCGCGUGAAUGAUGAAGGUCUUAGGAUUGUAAAAUUCUUUCACCGGGGACGAUAAUGACGGUACCCGGAGAAGAAGCCCCGGCUAACUUCGUGCCAGCAGCCGCGGUAAUACGAAGGGGGCUAGCGUUGCUCGGAAUUACUGGGCGUAAAGGGCGCGUAGGCGGACAGUUUAGUCAGAGGUGAAAGCCCAGGGCUCAACCUUGGAAUUGCCUUUGAUACUGGCUGUCUUGAGUACGGGAGGGGUGAGUGGAACUCCGAGUGUAGAGGUGAAAUUCGUAGAUAUUCGGAAGAACACCAGUGGCGAAGGCGACUCACUGGCCCGUUACUGACGCUGAGGCGCGAAAGCGUGGGGAGCAAACAGGAUUAGAAACCCGGGUAGUCC
rnacentral:rRNA from 1 species